CGAGGAAUUUAAGCUUCCUCCAUGAAUAUUCCUUUAAUAAUUAUAGGAUCUUUCAUAUAUUUAAUAUUAAUCAUCAUAGUUCUAGUAAGAAUUGCAUUUUUUACCUUACUUGAACGAAAAAUUUUAGGGUACUGUCAAGUUCGAAAAGGGC
rnacentral:rRNA from 1 species